rnacentral:rRNA from 1 species
ACGGGUGAGUAAUACAUCGGAACGUGCCCUGUAGUGGGGGAUAACUAGUCGAAAGAUUAGCUAAUACCGCAUACGACCUGAGGGUGAAAGUGGGGGACCGCAAGGCCUCAUGCUAUAGGAGCGGCCGAUGUCUGAUUAGCUAGUUGGUGAGGUAAAGGCUCACCAAGGCGACGAUCAGUAGCUGGUCUGAGAGGACGAUCAGCCACACUGGGACUGAGACACGGCCCAGACUCCUACGGGAGGCAGCAGUGGGGAAUUUUGGACAAUGGGGGCAACCCUGAUCCAGCAAUGCCGCGUGUGUGAAGAAGGCCUUCGGGUUGUAAAGCACUUUUGUCCGGAAAGAAAUCGCACUUACUAAUAUUAGGUGUGGAUGACGGUACCGGAAGAAUAAGGACCGGCUAACUACGUGCCAGCAGCCGCGGUAAUACGUAGGGUCCAAGCGUUAAUCGGAAUUACUGGGCGUAAAGCGUGCGCAGGCGGUUGUGCAAGACCGAUGUGAAAUCCCCGGGCUUAACCUGGGAAUUGCAUUGGUGACUGCACGGCUAGAGUGUGUCAGAGGGGGGUAGAAU